rnacentral:snoRNA from 1 species
AAGACCGCACUCUAAAGGAUCAUUUCUUUAGUCUGCAUCCCGUCUUUGUUGCUCAACAAAGACAAGUCUCCCAUGCAGGUUGAUGAGCUGUAACCUCGUUGCUUGAGCGCGAAGUGGAGGCGUGUUCUAAUGCGAGGCUGUCAAAAGCCAUGCAGCCGCCUCGUUAAUGAACGCCUUCUCGACGUUUUGCAACCGAGCUCACGUUGUGCGCGCCGAGGAGAGGCAAUGGGGUAGUCUUACUGCAG